CUGAAGGUCGCGUGUUCGAUCCA
rnacentral:siRNA from 1 species